rnacentral:tRNA from 1 species
GAUAAAAUGGCUGAGGAGUAAGCAGUAAAUUGUAAAUUUACUUACGAAUAUUAAAUUCUUUUAUCA